rfam:Formosa sp. Hel1_31_208 genome assembly, chromosome: I
AAUUUGGAGGAAAAAUUUGUUCUGAUUGCAACCUCAUAAAAAAAAUGCUAAAGCAGUUAGU